rnacentral:rRNA from 1 species
CUCGUAGACUCCUACGGGAGGCAGCAGUGAGGAAUAUUGGUCAAUGGGCGCAAGCCUGAUGCAGCCAUGCCGCGUGUGUGAAGAAGGCCUUCGGGUUGUAAAGCACUUUCAGUCGUGAGGAAGGUAGUGUAGUUAAUAGCUGCAUUAUUUGACGUUAGCGACAGAAGAAGCACCGGCUAACUCCGUGCCAGCAGCCGCGGUAAUACGGAGGGUGCGAGCGUUAAUCGGAAUUACUGGGCGUAAAGCGCAUGCAGGUGGUUUGUUAAGUCAGAUGUGAAAGCCCCGGGGCUCAACCUCGGAAUAGCAUUUGAAACUGGCAGACUAGAGUACUGUAGAGGGGGUAGAAUUUCAGGUGUAGCGGUGAAAUGCGUAGAGAUCUGAAGGAAUACCGGUGGCGAAGGCGGCCCCCUGGACAGAUACUGACACUCAGAUGCGAAAGCGUGGGGAGCAAACAGGAUUAGAUACCCUGGUAG